rnacentral:lncRNA from 1 species
UUAGGCUUUGAUUAUGAGCUUAUGGGAAAGGCAAAUUCGUUGGCUAGAGGUUGAGAGAGUGUAGCUAGAGAGUUUAGAAAAUAUUAGAGUGUGUUUUCAUUAUUUCUCCUUCAAUCUCUAUAUAUAGACCCUUAGAUUGCCUUGGAUGCUGAUAUGGCUGGUAAUUAUAGAGCUCAAAGGACAAUAAUAGAGUGGUUGGCCGGAUUUGGUGGAUUAGUAGCAAUGAUACACAAUUAUUUCACCAAUAAUGCACUAAAGUGGACAAAAGGGCAAAAUGGUAAUUUCCCCUCCAAUAAUUGAUUUCUUCCUUUAAUAAUGCACAAGGGUAGUUUAGACUUCUCAUGUCUACCAUGAAGGGCAUUUUAGACAUUGGCCAUAACCAUUAGGGUUUAUCACUUUAGAUUUUAAAAUUCCAUAAAUAAUAUAACUAAUAAUACACUAAAAGGGUAUUUUGGUAAUUUCACAUAUAAUUUCAUGGGCAUUUUUGUACAUAGCAAUUAAAUGUAGUAUUUAAUCACUAGAUGGUAAU